AAUACGUAGGGGGCUAGCGUUGUCCGGAAUUAUUGGGCGUAAAGAGCUCGUAGGCGGUUUGUUGCGUCGGCUGUGAAAACUCGGGGCUCAACUCCGAGCUUGCAGCCGAUACGGGCAGACUUGAGUUCGGCAGGGGAGACUGGAAUUCCUGGUGUAGCGGUGAAAUGCGCAGAUAUCAGGAGGAGCACCGGUGGCGAAGGCGGGUCUCUGGGCCGAUACUGACGCUGAGGAGCGAAAGCGUGGGGAGCGAACA
rnacentral:rRNA from 1 species